rnacentral:misc_RNA from 1 species
UUUGCCAAUAUUGGCCCAAUAUUGCUUUGUUUUUAUUACUCAAAUAUUGGCCAAUAUUGAGAUUUUUACAUAUUGGUACGCAGGCGUAACAUUAUUGCUUAUUCAUAAUGUCCUUUAGUUUUGUCCUUUGAUGUCCACAAUACUUUUAAUAGAAUAUUUACAGAUAGAAUCACGAGAAGAAGUGGUAAAAGUAAAGAAAUCCUUUUAAUUGAAAAUUUAGAGAUUGUAUCACGAAAAGAAGUGGUUGUAAUUUAUUUAAAACAGAUUGAAUCACGAGAAGAAGUGGUUGCAGUUCAUUUAGAAACAGAUUGUAUCACGAGAAGAAGUUAAAAAAUAUUUCUGUGCUCUAAGAUAAAAAUUGAAAUAGUAAUGAAAAAAUCAAUAAAAACAACUCGAUCUGCUAAAUCACAUUAUAUUAGAAGAGUAGUAAAGCAACAUUUAAAUGAAAUUCACUCAACAAGUAAUGUUGAAAAUACGAAUGAAUUACUUAACUGUGGAAAUUCAAUAAACUUCAGUGAUGAGUCUAUUAACCAUAAUAUGUUAUAUCAAAAUUCUUAUAAUUAUUUGGCUGAAGACACAUUAAAAUCCUCAAAUGUUGAGUUUGGUGACAUAUCAUAUUUUGAUGAAAACCAACCCUCGAAUUUGACUAAUAGUUUUGAUGAUGACUGUAACAUAACUGAUGAUGAGCAUGGCUACUAUCCUUCAUGUUCCAGUGACAAUGAAGAGGCUCAGGAUGAAGUUACUUUAAAAGAACUGCUUAUUUGCUGUAAAAUUGAAGAUGACAGCAAAAAUUAAAAAAUUCGCUGUGGCUGAAUUUCUUGAUGAAAAAAAAAAAAGUUUGUGUGCCAUGGACGUUAUCUGUUCGUCAUGGCUGAUCAAUGAAAGUUUAGUGUUUUGACCCAAUCAUUUGGGAUCAUCUCGCCUUUUAACUGCCAUACGCGAAGCCACACUUACUCCUGAAAGUAAUUGGAAACAGUUAAAAAUAAGAAUUCUUUAUUAUUCUGGUAAUUGUCGUUAUUAUGUUAUUAUUCCUUGUUUAAUUUUACAUUACACACAUGCUAGAUGCUAAUGAUCUAAACAGAUAGAAUUCACAUCAAGCGUUGAAACAGCUGCUGAAAGUGAUGAAGAAUUGUCUAUGCCACCAGCUAAAAAGUUAGCAGUUUGCAAUACAAGUGACACUGAGGUUUAUCCAUCAGUUUCCCCAAGAUUGAAGAAAUCUUUUAAUUGCCAAAAUAUUUUACAACCCACAACUGUUUGAUAUAUUGAGCCAUUUAGUUCGAAUCAUUCUAUACCGAUAUCUUCCUCUUCUGACCAGAGCUUGGCAACUGUUGUGGCUGCUUUAGGCACCUGAUUUUCUGAAAAAAGCUUAGUGUUUCCUUCUACUGUUAGCAAUCAGAGCAUAGCAGGACCAUCCCCAUCAGUUCAAUUAUUUGCCUGUUAAAGAGGAAAAAGAACUUUUAGACCUGGAUGAAAAAUUAUAGAACAAAGACACCUAUGAAUCUUUGAUGAACUUCCUUGCAUCGGUUGGAGGCGACGAUUACAAGCAACUUACCACGGCUAUUUUAAAACAACUAUUGACUAAAAAAGUAUGCUUGUUAUAUUUUUUGUAUGGCAGGAAACAAAAGAAAUCCUUUUCGUCUCUUACGUCCUGCAAGGUGGUUAUAGCUGCCAUAAAAAAAAAGUUUGAAAACGCUAAUGAUAAGAGCAUUAAAGAAAGAAUCGGCAGCUUUCUGGCUACGGCCAUUGAUAGAGACGGCGGAAGAAAGAAUAGAACCGCAAUUGAGCAAAGCCCACUUGCGAUGAUGAUGAUGAGAUGAGCGAUGAAAAUGAAUGUCGCGAAGAUAAUGCCCAUUAACUGAUAGUGAAUCAAUGCCCAUUAUCUGAUAGUGAGGGUGUAAUGUAAUAAAUAUA